rnacentral:rRNA from 1 species
CAGUCGCCGCGGUAAUACGUAGGUGGCAAGCGUUGUCCGGAAUUAUUGGGCGUAAAGGGCUCGCAGGCGGUUUCUUAAGUCUGAUGUGAAAGCCCCCGGCUCAACCGGGGAGGGUCAUUGGAAACUGGGAAACUUGAGUGCAGGAGGGGAGAGUGGAAUUCCACGUGUAGCGGUGAAAUGCGUAGAGAUGUGGAGGAACACCAGUGGCGAAGGCGACUCUCUGGUCUGUAACUGACGCUGAGGAGCGAAAGCGUGGGGAGCGAACAGGAUUAGAUACCCCCGUAGUCCCUGUCUCUUAUAA